GGCGGCGACGCGUCAGGGACACGGCACGGCCCGCGGCCGCGGCACGGAGCGAGUGUGCGCGGAGCUGGGCGCUGCGGGACCCGCCCCGGCUCGCUCCAGUUGGGCGUUUGUUUUAAACUCCAAUGGGUGAUGAAAAGGAUUCUUGGAAAGUGAAGACUUUAGAUGAAAUUCUUCAGGAAAAGAAGCGAAGGAAGGAGCAAGAAGAGAAGGCAGAGAUAAAACGUAUGAAAAAUUCAGAUGAUCGGGAUUCAAAGCGGGAUUCUCUCGAGGAGGGGGAGCUGAGAGACCAUCGCAUGGAAAUAACCAUCAGGAACUCACCUUACAGGAGGGAAGACUCUAUGGAAGACAGAGGAGAAGAAGAUGAUUCCUUGGCUAUAAAACCACCUCAGCAAAUGUCACGGAAAGAAAAAACCCACCAUCGGAAAGACGAGAAGAGGAAAGAGAAGCGCAGACACCGCAGCCAUUCAGCAGAAGGGAAACAUGCCAGAGUGAAAGAGAAAGAACGGGAACAUGAGCGUAGGAAGAGACACAGAGAAGAGCAGGACAAAGCCCGGCGGGAGUGGGAGAGACAGAAACGGAGAGAGAUGGCAAGGGAGCAUUCCAGGAGGGAGAGAGACCGUCUGGAGCAGCUGGAGAGAGAGCGAGAGAGAAAAAUCCGAGAGCAGCAGAAAGAGCAAAGGGAGCAAAAGGAGCGAGAGAGGAGAGCAGAGGAGAGGAGGAAGGAGCGGGAGGCCAGGAGAGAAGUUUCUGCACACCAUAGAACAGUGAGGGAAGAAUAUGGAGACAAAGUAAAAAUGAGACCCUGGAGUCGCAGUCCGUUACGGCAGCAGAGAGACAAGCUUGAGCAAGGAGAUAGCAGGAAACCAGCAGUGAAAGAAGAGAAACCAGAAGAGAGGGAUCCCCUGUCAGACUUGCAAGACAUCAGUGACAGCGAGAGAAAAACCAGCUCGGCAGAGUCUUCCUCAGAGUCAGGAUCGGGCUCGGAAGAAGAGGAAGAAGAGUCCAGCAGCGAAGGUUCUGAGGAAGAGGGAGAGGAAGAGGAGGAGGAGGAGGAGGAGGAGGAAGAGGAGGAGACAGGCAGCAAUUCUGAGGAGGUGUCUGAGCAGUCAGCUGAAGAGGUGAGCGAAGAGGAAAUGAGCGAAGAGGAGGAGCGGGAGAAUGGAAACCACAUCCCAGUUGUUACAGAGUCGAGGUUUGACCGAGAUUCAGCGGGAAGUGAAGUAGAAGAGGAGGACGAAGGGGAGGGGAGCCCUCACUCCAAUGCCAUGACAGAAGGAGACUACAUUCCUGACUCACCAGCCUCCUCCCCCGUUGAACUGAAACAGGAGCUUCCCAAGUAUCUUCCUGCACUUCAGGGCUGUCGUAGCGUGGAGGAGUUUCAGUGCUUGAACAGGAUCGAAGAGGGAACGUACGGUGUCGUGUACAGAGCCAAGGACAAGAAGACUGACGAGAUCGUGGCCCUGAAGCGACUGAAAAUGGAGAAGGAGAAGGAAGGUUUUCCCAUUACCUCCCUGAGAGAAAUAAAUACCAUCCUGAAAGCACAGCAUCUGAAUAUUGUCACUGUCAGGGAAAUUGUGGUGGGCAGCAACAUGGAUAAAAUCUACAUUGUGAUGAACUAUGUGGAGCACGAUCUCAAGAGCCUGAUGGAAACGAUGAAGCAGCCGUUUCUGCCAGGUGAAGUGAAGACCCUGAUGAUUCAGUUACUGCGAGGAGUCAAACACCUCCACGACAACUGGAUCCUUCACCGAGACUUGAAAACUUCCAACCUGUUGCUGAGCCACUCAGGCAUCUUAAAGGUGGGGGAUUUCGGGCUGGCCCGCGAGUACGGCUCCCCGCUGAAGCCCUACACACCCUUGGUUGUCACUCGAUGGUACAGGGCUCCAGAGCUGCUGCUUGGAGCUAAGGAAUACUCGACAGCCAUAGACAUGUGGUCAGUGGGCUGCAUCUUCGGGGAGCUGCUCACGCAGAAGCCGCUUUUCCCGGGGAAGUCAGAAAUCGAUCAGAUCAACAAAAUUUUCAAGGAUCUGGGUACUCCAAGUGAGAAAAUCUGGCCAGGUUACAACGAGCUGCCAGCAGUGAAGAAGAUGACAUUCACAGAAUAUCCCUACAACAACCUGCGCAAGAGAUUCGGGGCGCUGCUGUCCGACCAGGGCUUCGACCUGAUGAACAACUUUUUGACAUACUACCCAGCCAGAAGGAUCACAGCUGAGGAUGGGUUGAAGCACGAGUACUUCAGGGAGACUCCCCUUCCCAUCGACCCCUCCAUGUUUCCCACGUGGCCAGCCAAGAGCGAGCAGCAGCGGGUGAAGCGCGGCACCAGCCCCAGGCCGCCCGAGGGAGGCCUGGGCUACAGCCAGCUGGGUGACGAUGAUCUGAAGGACACAGGCUUUCACCUGACCACCACAAACCAAGGAGCAUCUGCUGCAGGGCCUGGCUUCAGCCUCAAGUUUUAAACUCAACAUGAAAGAGGUGGAGAAGAAAAGAACCGUUCAUAUUAGAUCCAGAUCCAGAUUAGGAGUUGUCUUUGAAUUUAUCACACGCUGCAAUUACAUCACUGGCUUUGAGGCUGCUGCAGUUUUGCCUGUACAACUAUUCCUGCUUGAUAACAAUCUGAUUUGGAUCACUGGUCAGCCAAGCAGAGAGCUACAGUCACUGACUAAAGGAAAGGAAGUCACAGGAUGAUUGCAAGGACUUGAUCACAGUGUCCUCAGCUGUGAUUUCACUCUGUAAGAGCUGCAGCUCAGGAAUCGAUCCUUCCAUAGGAAGAAAACACUGUGGGAAGAAAGGGAGAUCAGUCAACAGCAAUACCUAGCAGCAUUUAUGUCCUUCAUGUGAAAGGAGGUGAGUAGCUCUUGAGGUCCCUCUAUUCAGUCUCUCUUAGUUAUUAUAAAGCAGUUACACAGAAGAAAGAUGACAUCUGUAUUGUCUAGAGGAGAUGUUUCCACACACAUCUGUUGUUCUGCACAGCAGCAUUUCUUGCAUAGGCUGGAAGCAACUUUGGCUAAUGCCAGUUUUCUUUGUGGAGAAAUCAUGUGUGAUCCAUCCAAGCUCAUGAACUUCAUCAGGACAGUAAACUCUGAGGCUGCAGCAGUGCUUGAUGUCAUUAAGGAUCUGCCUUUUAUUGUGACUAUUUUCUUGACUCAAGCUCUCUACUUCAUUGUGACUGUGAUAAAACAGGCUACAACCUUCACUAUGAAGUUAACCUUUUAAAGUACUUACUUCUUUCUCUCAGCCCCUGCCCAAAGCUGCGGUAGACGUGGAUCAGUGCCCAAAACAAAACAGCUUUUAUUGCAACAGAAAUGCAGGAGCCGGUAAUGAAAGCAGCCUCCAGAGUGUAAGAAUUCCCUUUGCCCCACUCCCUUAUCACCUGCAGGAGAAUGGAGACACACAGCAAUCAACACCCUGCAGCCCCGAAAUGCCAUCAGACACUUCAGCUUCUGAGAGAAGGCAGUAGAUGGUAACUUGGGGGAAUAAACCUGGUCACUUCUAAACCCUUUUACUCUCUUCAUUACGUGAUUCCCUGGCUGCACAAUUGACUCCAGUUAAAUGCAUUCUACCUUCAGUCAUCUCUGCAGAUAAGAAAACUAGACUUCACCAGAUUGGACUCUGUACAUGAAUUAACAGAACCCCGAGGACUGGGGUGGCUGCAGUCACUGGACUUUAAUCAGCAUCUCAGGACUGUCCCUGUGAAGUAUGAGAAACACUGCUAUCAGCAUUUGAACCCUUCCCAUGAGGAACAGUCUGCUUUGCCCUUGCCCUUCUUCCUUCCCUCCUCUCAUAUAUGUGCUGUAGGAGGUGCUGAGGUGCCCCAGUGAUACGUGCUGUAUCGCUAUUACAGUGCCAAAAAAUGCCCGCGCUGGAGGCUGCUGGGCUUGCACUGCCUCUUGUGGUGGCUGCAUCAGGAUCCACAGCUGGGGGUGCUGCCUCAGAAUGCUUUUCAAAGAUAAUGACUUGAGGUGGGCAAAUACCCUGGCACCACUUGAGACCUCUUGUGAAGGAGGGAGGGCGUUUUUGAGGAUCUGUGUGUUUGUACUGGAAUCAUUCUGGACACUUUGCCAGCUGCAGAGACUUCCAGUGCCCCUCCCUCUAACCGAUCCGUUCAAGAGCAAUUUGAUACGGUUCCUGUCUAGUUGAUCCUAAAGAGGUAGGACAUGCCUGCCACUCUCACCAGUUCUAACAGGAACUGCAGUGAAGGGCUGUGCUCAGGAAUGAGGCACCAUGUUUUGGGCCCAAGGAUCCAGCAAUGAUCAGGAGGCCUCCAGCCUUGCUCCCUAUUAUUGAGCGAGUAAGUCUGAUCAGUUACCGUGUACAGCAGGUAGAUGAGAUAAGCUACUUCAGGUAUGUUCUGACCCAGGAAAAUCCACACCAGAGGUUUCAGUUCUUUUAGAAUCUGUAAAAUAAGAUGAGAUAGGUACAGCUUUAUACUCUACAAAGGCUAGAGAUGGUUAAUUUUGCAAUGGCAUUUCAGGUGUUGGUCUAGCUGAGUUCUCAGGUGUAACUUUGCUCUCCACUUGCCUUCGCUACCUCUUUGUUUUUAGCAGGAAAUACAGUCUCUGUUCUCCACUGAGCUGGGCCAGGAGUGAUGUUGAUGAAAUCAGAAUUGCUUGUUUCACAGGCACAUCCUGACAGCUGUGUGUGGUUUGAGCCGUCUCAGCAUCCUCUUCAGCUCUGCCUUCUAAUCCUUACAACACAACUCCCAGCUCACUCAAAUGGAGAAGCAGCUGACUCUUCUGAAUUGUAUCUAAGUUGAUGUACUUUCUCUUUGGCGAAGUUGCUGGGAACUAAAUGUGGGAGAAGCAAGAGGAUCUGACUUUCACAAUUAUCUUUAUGACUUGGGAAAGAAGAAACCAUGGACUGCUUUCUAGCAAGUGACAAGUUUCAGCAGUCCUGAGCUGUAAGGGCAGGUCUGAGCAAAAGAAAGAAACUCAGCUGAGUCACUGGGAGUUGAAGUGACUGUGCCAGUGCUGUGCCUCGUCACAGGUGCAGCUUCUGAGAGCACCAAACAAGACAACAAUACAUGCUUCUCUACUGCUGCAUCAUCUGUAAGAAGCUGACUGUGGAAAACCUUGUCUGAACCGGGGAGAACUGUGAAGUUGACAACGGAACGAAACAUCACGAGCAAGAUGGAAAGGACGAAGACGAUGAGCUCCUGGCGGUUCUCCUGCAGGAUUCCUCUAGUCACGUAGUACACACAGAACACUGGGAGGAGAAGGAAAGGGCAGUUACCAGCUGAACACAGGUUGCUCAGGGUGCAGUUUUCCAACAUGCCUCAUCCAGAUGACAAAAUGCAAGUAUCAAGACCCAGUAACUUGGGCUCCUCAGUCAAGAGCAUCUCUUUAUUCUUGCCAAGGAGCCCAAAUCAGAUACUUCAAAUGAGCAGUGUCCCCUGCAUUUGGCAUGCAAGAAAUGGAAUCACUUGUUAGCUUUUAAAAUGACUGAAAGUAAUUUACUUCCCUUACUUAAAGUAACACUUUGAAAUGGCAACAUAUUAGCUGUGCAGUUUGGCAGCUGUGGAAUGAUAUUCUAUCAAUAGCACAUUGAACAUUAUGUGCAAUAGUAUAGUUGAAUUAAAUGAAGCAACUGAAAUGACAUCAUCUUCCCAGUGAGAGUCAUUCAAGUGACUAACAAGCAAUUUACUACUCGUACACAUUCCUCUGUGGUCUUGUUUGUGUGGUUCUGACCACUACAAACCACCUGCACGUUGAGUUGAACGUAGGCUGGGUUCCUAACAGUUUGGUUGAGUGGUGGGACUUUUUGAAACACCCCUCCCUGCAAACCAGACUCGAGUCCAGAACACAACUGCUCUGGGAAAGCUCCUGAGUUAUGUUUUUCUAAACCAUACCCAAACCCACAAGUCACUGUUGAACUCUGCACUGAUCUGACAAAGCUUCAAUAAGGAAAAGGUUUUUCUUUCAUCAAAAGAGAAACUGGUGCUUUGUUCUCACAUUGGCUGCUCCUGCAAACACUAGUUAAUUCUUAUCAUAGACAAAGCAACAAUAGAUUCCUUUUUCCAGAGGGCUACUUCCUGGCCAUCCAGCAAUCUCGUUUCCCCAGGCUGGGACAAACUGUUGUAAAAGUUUUCAAGGUAGCAUCAUAACUUCAGUCCCUCUAAACAAACUUCCUAGUGAGGGAGCUUCCUUUUUCAUGUUUUAACAGUGACUGAGAGAACUGGAGAUGAUUGGGAAAUUACCAAGUGAGCCACAUGACUUGGUUUGUUUCUGGCAUGACUUCAUGGACACCUGAAGGAUUUCAGACAGUAUUUCCUUGUUUUGCAAAUUCAGUUGCUAAAUCAGAAGAAGUCUGUAGAAAUAAUUUGGAAACCAGCUCUUUUCUGAGCAUUCAGACUCUUGCAGAGACAGCAAAUGCACCUUUGUGAAAUGAAAGACAUCCCCUUGGCUUUGCUAAGUGAACAUGUUUUCAGUAAAUUAAAUCUCCAGUCCCCUUUAAAGUGAGUAUCUGUAGUGGUAAGAGAUUAUUACAGCCAGGGCAUCUCUUUUCCUUUAAAGAACUACUCCCAGUUCUGUCAGUCUUUGCCAUACAGAAAACAUGGUUUUGGCAUGUUUAUGGAGGUUAGCUCACACAUCUUACCAUCUCAGCGUGAGCCAAUUGUAGUUUCAACAUGCUCCUUGAAUGGUUUUGUCUGUACUGGCUAAGAUGUUGAAACAGUAACACUUUGAAGUAAUGUGUUAAGAAAACACCCUAUUUUUGGUGAUUUAAACCAGAAGUUUGAGAGGUUUGCACUUCUUCCAGUGUGCUGUGCAGCACAGAACACUAACUGUUAUCAACAGAAGGGGGGGGGAAGGGCUUAGCAAGCAUGCUUUCAGCAUCAUGUGAUUCAUUUGGGUUAUGAUGAAGGUUCUUCCUUUUUCUCUGAAGCACAGAACAGCAUUUGCCAACGAAAUCAGUGUGACAGACUGGAGGCACCAGUGCUGUGUUCUAACGUGGCCGUUUUUGUCAGUGUGCUGAGCCCCUGUGAAAAGCUGCAAAUCAAACCAGCUUUUGGGGAUAAAAGCAUUGUUUGCAUGUGUCUAAUUAUAGAAUCUGGAACAAAUCUAUUGUCUUUGUUCCCUCUGGGUGACAGCAGGAAAGCAAUGACUGCUUAUGAUGAGCGUGUUACAUCCACAGGCUAUUAUUUUCUACACUGAGCCAACAGCCAAGACCUGCUCAAGCCACUGGGGAGCACUUCCUGAAACACUUGCAGCUGAUGUAUUUUCACUUAAGUUUAAUUUCUAUUUUAAUACAAAUGGAUCCAGGAAUAUGGACACAAGUGGCUACUGAGGCUGUAAUUGAAAUAUCCAAGGAACUCUGGAUUUUGCUUACAAGACCAAAAAAAAAAGG